AUACGUAGGGGGCGAGCGUUGUCCGGAUUUACUGGGCGUAAAGGGCGAGUAGGCGGUUUGUUAAGUCAGGUGUGAAAUUCCAGGGCUCAACUCUGGAACUGCGCUUGAAACUGGCAGGCUAGAGGACAGGAGAGGGAAGCGGAAUUCCCGGUGUAGCGGUGAAAUGCGUAGAUAUCGGGAGGAAUACCAGUGGCGAAGGCGGCUUCCUGGACUGAACCUGACGUUGAGGAGCGAAAGCUGGGGGAGCAAACAGGAUUAGAUACCCUGGUAGUCCCAGCCGUAAACUAUGAGUGCUAGGUGUGGGGGGCAACAACCCUCCGUGCCGGAGUUAACACAAUAAGCACUCCGCCUGGGGAGUACGGCCGCAAGGCUAAA
rnacentral:rRNA from 1 species